rnacentral:rRNA from 1 species
AUGAAUAUUCUGGCCUGGAACUCUCGAGGAUUGGGGUUGGACUCGACGGUGGGCGAACUUCGUGACCUGAUACGGUCUUACAACCCAGCGGUGGUGUUCUUAUCAGAAACAAAAAAGAAGGCGCGAGCAAUGGAGAGGUUGAAGUGGAGCCUGGGGUUUAGGCAAGGUGUUGCGGUGGACUGCGCGGGGAAGAGUGGGGGGCUGGCUUUGUGGUGGAGAGACUAUGUGGAUGUUACGGUGAGACCAUGGUGCCAGUACUAUAUUGAUGCAGUGGUCAAAGCUGACGGGAAUACCUAUAGGUUCACUGGAAUCUAUGGGGUGUUGGGGAACGUAGUAAUUUCAAAAUUUUCCUACGCACAUGCAAGAUCAUGGUGA